rnacentral:rRNA from 1 species
UACGUAGGUGACAAGCGUUGUUCGGAAUUACUGGGCGUAAAGGGCGCGUAGGCGGCCUCCUAAGUCAGACGUGAAAUCCCCCGGCUUAACCUGGGAACUGCGUCUGAUACUGGGAGGCUAGAGUGCGGGGGAGGGAUGCGGAAUUCCAGGUGUAGCGGUGAAAUGCGUAGAUAUCUGGAGGAACACCGGUGGCGAAGGCGGCAUCCUGGACCGACACUGACGCUGAGGCGCGAAAGCUAGGGUAGCAAACGGG